rnacentral:rRNA from 1 species
UUACAGUGAAGAGUUUGAUCCUGGCUCAGGAUGAACGCUAGCUACAGGCUUAACACAUGCAAGUCGAGGGGCAGCAUUAUCGAAGCUUGCUUUGAUAGAUGGCGACCGGCGCACGGGUGAGUAACGCGUAUC